CAAUAGCGUAUAUUAAAGUUGUUGCGGUAAAAGAGCUCGUAGUUGGAUUUCUGUUGAGAGCGACCGGUCCAUACCAUGUAUGCGUAUCUGGCUUGCUCUCGGCAUCCUCUCGAUAGACGUUACUGCGCUUGAUUGCGUGGUGCGGAUCUCGGGACUUUUACUUUGAGGAAAUUAGAGUGUUCACGGCAGGCUUUCGCCAGAAUACAUUAGCAUGGAAUAAUACUAUAGGAUCUUGGUUCUAUUUUGUUGGUUUCUAGAAUUGAGAUAAUGAUUAAUAGGGACAAUUGGGGGCAUUCGUAUCAACACGUCAGAGGUGGAAUUCUUGGAUUGUGUUGCGACGAACUACUGCGAAAGCAUUUGCCAAGGAUGUUUUCAUUGA
rnacentral:rRNA from 1 species